UCCGGUGGUUAUAGCGUGAGGGAAACGCCCGGUCACAUUCCGAACCCGGAAGCUAAGCCUCACAGCGCCUGACCGGUACUAAUAGGC
rnacentral:rRNA from 1 species